rnacentral:rRNA from 1 species
CCUACGGGUGGCAGCAGUGGGGGAUAUUGCACAAUGGGGGGAACCCUGAUGCAGCGACGCCGCGUGGGUGAAGGAGCGUUUCGGCGCGUAAAGCCCUAUCGGCAGGGAAGAAGAUGACGGUACCUGACCAAGAGGCCACGGCUAACUACGGGCCAGCAGCCGCGGGAAUACGUAGGGGGCGAGCGUUCUCCGGAGUUACUGGGUGUAAAGGGGUCGGAGACGGCAAUGCAAGCCAGGAGUGAAAGCCCGGGGCCCAACCCCGGGACUGCUCUUGGAACUGGAUGGCUGGAGUACCGGAGGGGCUGGCGGAAUUCCUGGUGUAGCGGUGAAAUGCGUAGAUAUUAGGAGGAACACCGGUGGCGAAGGCGGCCUGCUGGACUGUGACUGACGUUGAGGCCCGAAGGCGUGGGUAGCAAACAGGAUUAGAUACCCUAGUAGUC